GCCAAGAACUGAUUUUGCUGUGCAUUUCUUUCUGCAAAAUUAAGGUAAGGGUGAGACUAUCAUUCAGUGAUCUUAAGUCUAUAAUUCUGAAAUUGGAUUUAUCAUUUGGGGUUAGGGUUGUGUACUCAUAUGGGUAAUUAAUGGUUGUUGAUUUUCGUUGUUUUUCUAAAUUCUUUUGAUGACUUUUUCGCUGAUUUCGUGUACUUUUAUGUUACUAUAGUUAUAUGUUUGAUUUUCGUUAACGGAACUGUGAUGUUUAUAUGUGAAUUUUUAUACAUCAUGCUCGUACGUUAAUAUAGUUGUUUUGAUAGAAUUAUAUACGAUCGGUAAAAGCUUUAAAUGUUAUCGUUUCAUGUUUCUGAUCUUGAUAUAUGAGAUGCAUGAUAUUUGUGAAAGCAUGUUUCUGUUUUCUAUUUUUUUUUCUUUUAUAUGUCAAUCUGCCAAAAUCGGUUUACACAUUUAAUAUUGAUUUAUGAAAUAUGUUAUGAGAGAGUUCUAAAGAUCCUUAAAACAUGUUAAUUAUUCUCGCUUUCGGUGACAUUACUUUGUGCAUUAUGGUUUCAUAUGAUUUUAUUAUAUUUAGAAUAGUGAUAAAGACCUUUAAAACAUAUCACUGGGUUUACUUUGAAAAUGUUUCUAACGGUGAUAUCAUAACUUGGAUUUAGAAAAUGGAUGCUAUUAAUCAUAUGUUAAUUGACAAGCUUUUAGAAUUCAAUGAAUAACAAAUGAGAUUUUCUCCAUUUUAAACUUUGAUUUCAAAAUUCUUCCGUUUACUUUAGAUGAUGAAUUAUUUGAUGAUGUGUAUAAAUGUGUUAUAUAAAUAUGUACUAUUUGAAGAUGUAUGAUUUAAAGAUGUGUUAUAUAAAUAUGUGUUAUUUGAAGAUGUGUGAUUUAAAGACGUGUUAUUUAAAGAUGUGCUAGUUAAAGAUGUGUGAUUCAUAGAUAUGUUAUUUUGUGUAUUUGUGACUAGUCCUAAAAGUAAAGUCUUGUUUAUUUUGAAGUAUAAUUGAUUUAGAAUGGAAUAGAAUUGAUGAAGUGUAAUUAAUGAAUUAUGAUAUUAUGAUGCAAAGUCGUUGUUGUUGUCGUUGCCGCUGUUGUCAUCAAUGUCAUUAAAGUUGUAAGUUGUCUUUCCAAAGAAUUAGAGUCUUAAGUUGUUAAUGUUGUUUAAGUUGUUGAAGUCGUAGUUGAAGCUGUUGUUGGUGAUUGUUUAUGUUCAGGUGUUUUCUAAGAGGUAGUGUACUCUUACGUCGUUGUUUAUAAGAGGUGGUGUACUCUUAUGUCGUUGUUCUAUAAGAGGUGGUGUACUCUUACUUGUCGUUUUAUAAGAGGUGGUGUACUCUUACUUUAUCGUUUUUCUAAGAGGUGGUGUACUCUUACUUUGUUGUUGUCUAUAAGAGGUGGUGUACUCUUACUUUGUUUAUGUUGAUGAGUAUGACGAGGUUAUGAUGAUCUUAUAUAAUGUUGAAUGAGAGGUUGUUAUGAUAUUACAAGAGGUUACCUAAAAGUUGUUAAAUGUACUUGAUGAGGGUUAUGUUAAGUUGUCUUCUAUUCAUGAGCACUAAGGGGAUGUUAAGGAGAAUUAUUAUUGAGUGUAUAUGAUGAUGUCUAUGUUGUUAAUUGUAAUUGAUGAAUUUUAUGCUUAUUAUUAUUGUUUGAGAAAUCUCACCCCUUCUGCUUGGAAAUGUUGCCCUUCGUAUGGGUAACUUGCAGGUAUUUGAAGAUUAGUAGGAGUGGUGGCUCAAGUGUCUAGGGCUCUGAUACGUACGGGAUGAGAUUUUCUUAUUGUUUUUCAUUCCUAUGUAUCAAUUUUUAAAUAUUACUGAUGUAGCCCUAUGGUUGUUGAAUUUAUGUUGAUAAUGCUUUUAUGCCAAUAUUUAAUUAUGGAGAUUUAAAUAGUUGAUGUUGUUGUUUUGAUGCAAAUUUCCGCUGCAAAAUUAAUGAUGAUUUUGAAGGAUGCUUAUUAAAUAGAUUUUAUAUUCUAUU
rnacentral:lncRNA from 1 species